AAGGGGUAUAUUCAGGUGUUUUGGAAACUUCCCAACUCUGAGGUCCUGGAAACUCCUUGGGAUUUAGUAUAAGAAGAAACCUAGGAUAUCUUCAAUGCAGAUGUUCCUACAGUAAGAACAUCUUCUGGCUCCCCAAGGAGUCUCUCUCAAUGAAAUCUUGAGGCACCACCAGGAUGGAGAGAAGUGCACACAUCUGCUGCACCCAGCCAGUGUCAAUCAUGCCAACUAGGUGGUUCUGCUUCUUAACCCAGACUAACGGAGCCCCCAGCCUGCAUGUUAAACUGUCAAAAGAAAUGGCUUGAAUUGGGAAGUAUAAUCAUCAUAUACUGACCUGAAAUGUGCAGCCAUAACGCUUAAAACUACACGUACUUGGGGCAUUAAUACAUUCUGACAAAUGUGCAUUCAACUGCAACGGGAAAAAAAUGUGAGUUUUGGAACAAACGAUUGCAUGAUAAUGCUCAAACAUUAAGGGCACAGAUAAUCAGGGUUGUAUUACUAAGUAUGGUGUUAAGUACACAGGUGUAUAUAUUAUCUGCUUUCUAGACGAAUACAGUAAAUAUACUGUACUAUGAAA